rnacentral:rRNA from 1 species
UACAGAGGUCUCAAGCGUCGUUCGGAUUCAUUGGGCGUAAAGGGUGCGUAGGCGGCGCGGUAAGUCGGGUGUGAAAUCUCGGAGCUUAACUCCGAAACUGCAUUCGAUACUGCCGUGCUUGAGGACUGGAGAGGAGACUGGAAUUUACGGUGUAGCGGUGAAAUGCGCAGAUAUCAGGAGGAACACCGGUGGCGAAGGCGGUUCUCUGGGCCUUACCUGACGCUGAGGAGCGAAAGCGUGGGGAGCAAACAGG